CUCAACACCCUGGCUUCUAAUUGACAAUAUCAUAGUGUGACAUCCACCUCAGCACAGCUACGACCAGAGCAGUGCAGGACUCCAACUGCCAUAACGGUCAUAACAGAGGCGCUCAUGUCGCGGCCCGGUCAGAUCCUGACAGUCUGCAGGUUCUGCUGAAUCCCUGUCAUCAACUAUCUCAGACAGGACAUGAGAAGAAGACGAGGAGAAGACCAGCCCCAAAGGCUGCUGGAUAGAUCCUUGUUUGAUAUCUUCCAUCAUGCCCAUCCUUAUGGCCACAAAAUGAUGUAACCCAAAGACACAACCAAAGAAGAAGUUCAAUGUCAAGUGCUUCAAAAACCCUGCUAAAAACAUCACCUCCAGCAGUGCCUGAGGGAGAAACAU